UAUCUCAUCUAUUGUUGCCUUUCCGGCAACUUUUGACUACACCACCCACUCGCCUUCUCCUCAUGAUAAGUUGUGUGUCAUUCCGCAUUACAACCUCAUUGUAUGUUGGAUCUUUAAGUAACUUUUGGUUUAUUUUUGUUUGGCUGUUAUCUAAUACAUUUGCAUGCUUUUAAGUGUGGUUGCACUUCAUGUUUUUUCCAGAAUCCACUUGCACAUUUUCCAUACUUGUUACUUGUUAGACCUUAAGAUGAUAAGUUGUAUCAUUCUGCAUUACAGCCUCAUUGGAAGAUGGGAUUUAUCGGUGUUUUUGGUAGUUAUCUAAGAGAUUUGGAUAUGCUUAAGUGUGAUUGCGCUCUGAAUGGGAAAAGUAUAGUUUACUUCAUGCAUUCUGUAUAGGAGUUUGGAUUUUGAAGUCAGAAUGGAUUUGAAUUGUUGGAUUGUGUGGGGAUAUAAUGGUUUGAUGAUUUGGUGGCAGUUAAAAGGCUAUGAUAGUUAAUGCUCUCAUUAGACUACAGAAAAAACUUAUUGAGGAUAGUGACCUCCGAUCAAGGAUUUCUUGUACUGGGUUACAAAUAUGGAGCACUGCCCUUAUUUUUCCUUUAUUUUACGGUCGACAGUUUUACAAUGUUUGACAGUGUCUUUUACUUUAUGGUUGGUGUUAUGAAUUUAUGAUGGUGUAGAUGGUGCUAUGAAGAUUUAUUGGUCCCUUUUGGAUUUUAGGGAGGAAGU